rnacentral:piRNA from 1 species
AAACUCUGUGUGGAAAUAGGUGGU